UGAGGCAGAUCGCGCCAACGUGGUUG
rnacentral:piRNA from 1 species